rnacentral:misc_RNA from 1 species
GAUGAAGAACGCAGCGAAAUGCGAUACGUAAUGUGAAUUGCAAAUUCAGUGAAUCAUCGAGUCUUUGAACGCACAUUGCGCCCCCUGGUAUUCCGGGGGGCAUGCCUGUCCGAGCGUCAUUGCUGCCCUCAAGCACGGCUUGUGUGUUGGGCCCCGUCCUCCGAUCCCGGGGGACGGGCCCGAAAGGCAGCGGCGGCACCGCGUCCGGUCCUCGAGCGUAUGGGGCUUUGUCACCCGCUCUGUAGGCCCGGCCGGCGCUUGCCGAUCAACCCAAAUUUUUAUCCAGGUUGACCUCGGAUCAGGUAGGGAUACCGCUGAACUUAAGCAUAUCAAUAAGCGGAGGA